GCUUAAUUGGAUGGUUAAAGUGAGAUAUUUUACUGCAUAGGUCUACAUUUGGACCCAGGCAUUGCACAAGUCUGCAUGUGCUUUAAUAGGAUACUGUUCAACGCUUGAGAGCCAACAGAGUAAACAACAAUCC